GACGAACGCUGGCGGCGUGCCUAAUACAUGCAAGUAGAACGCUGAAGCUUGGUGCUUGCCCCGAGCGGAUGAGUUGCGAACGGGUGAGUAACGCGUAGGUAACCUCCCUGGUAGCGGGGUAUAACUAUUGGAAACGGUAUCUAAUACCGCAUAACAGUAGCUAUCGCAUGCUUGCUUCUUGAAAGGUGCAAAUGCACCACUACCAGAUGGCCCUUCGUUGUAUUAGCUAGUUGCUGAGGUAACGGCUCACCAAGGCAACGCUACCGAGCCGACCCGAGAGGGUGAGCGGCCACACUGGGACUGAGACACGGCCCAGACGCACAGGGGAGGGAGCAGUAGGGAAUCUUGGGGAAUGGACGGAAGGCUGAGCGAGAAAGGCCGCGUGAGUGAAGAAGGGUUUCGGAUCGGAAAGCUCUGUUGUAAGAGAAGAAAGAGUGUGAGAGUGGAAAGUUCACACAGUGACGGUAUCUGAACAGAAAGGGACGGCUAACUACGUG
rnacentral:rRNA from 1 species